rnacentral:rRNA from 1 species
GCACGUUGAAAAGUGCGGGGAUGAGGUGUGGGUAGCGGAGAAAUUCCAAUCGAACUUGGAGAUAGCUGGUUCUCUCCGAAAUAGCUUUAGGGCUAGCCUCGAGGUAAAGAGUCAUGGAGGUAGAGCACUGUUUGGACUAGGGGCCCUUCUCGGGUUACCGAAUUCAGAUAAACUCCGAAUGCCAUGUACUUAUACUCGGGAGUCAGACUGCGAGUGAUAAGAUCCGUAGUCGAAAGGGAAACAGCCCAGACCACCAGUUAAGGUCCCCAAAUAUAUGUUAAGUGGAAAAGGAUGUGGGGUUGCUUAGACAACCAGGAUGUUGGCUUAGAAGCAGCCACCAUUGAAAGAGUGCGUAAUAGCUCACUGGUCGAGUGACCCCGCGCCGAAAAUGUACCGGGGCUAAACAUAUUACCGAAACUGUGGAUGAACCUCUUUAGAGGUUCGUGGUAGGAGAGCGUUCUAAGGGCGGUGAAGUCAGACCGGAAGGACUGGUGGAGCGCUUAGAAGUGAGAAUGCCGGUAUGAGUAGCGAAAGAAGGGUGAGAAUCCCUUCCACCGAAUAUCUAAGGUUUCCUGAGGAAGGCUCGUCCGCUCAGGGUUAGUCGGGACCUAAGCCGAGGCCGAUAGGCGUAGGCGAUGGACAACAGGUAGAGAUUCCUGUACCAGUGCUAAUUGUUUAACCGAUGGGGUGACACAGAAGGAUAGGGAAUCGCACGAAUGGAAAUGUGCGUCCAAGCAGUGAGUGUGAGAAGUAGGCAAAUCCGCUUCUCGCGAAGCAUGAGCUGUGAUGGGGAAGGAAAUUAAGUACGGAAGUUCCUGAUUUCACGCUGUCAAGAAAAGCCUCUAGGAAGAGUAGUACUGCCCGUACCGCAAACCGACACAGGUAGAUGAGGAGAGAAUCCUAAGGUGAGCGAGAGAACUCUCGUUAAGGAACUCGGCAAAAUGACCCCGUAACUUCGGGAGAAGGGGUGCUCUAUUAGGGUGCAAGCCCGAGAGAGCCGCAGUGAAUAGGCCCAGGCGACUGUUUAGCAAAAACACAGGUCUCUGCAAAACCGUAAGGUGACGUAUAGGGGCUGACGCCUGCCCGGUGCUGGAAGGUUAAGAGGAGUGCUUAGCUUCGGCGAAGGUACGAAUUGAAGCCCCAGUAAACGGCGGCCGUAACUAUAACGGUCCUAAGGUAGCGAAAUUCCUUGUCGGGUAAGUUCCGACCCGCACGAAAGGCGCAACGAUCUGGGCACUGUCUCAACGAGAGACUCGGUGAAAUUAUAGUACCUGUGAAGAUGCAGGUUACCCGCGACAGGACGGAAAGACCCCGUGGAGCUUUACUGCAACCUGAUAUGGAAUGUUUGUACCGCUUGUACAGGAUAGGUAGGAGCCGAAGAGACGUGUGCGCUAGCAUACGAGGAGGCAAUGGUGGGAUACUACCCUGGCUGUAUGACCAUUCUAACCCGCCACGCUUAGCGCGUGGGGAGACAGUGUCAGGUGGGCAGUUUGACUGGGGCGGUCGCCUCCUAAAGAGUAACGGAGGCGCCCAAAGGUUCCCUCAGAAUGGAUGGAAAUCAUUCGCAGAGUGUAAAGGCACAAGGGAGCUUGACUGCGAGACUGACAAGUCGAGCAGGGACGAAAGUCGGGCUUAGUGAUCCGGUGGUUCCGCAUGGAAGGGCCAUCGCUCAACGGAUAAAAGCUACCCCGGGGAUAACAGGCUUAUCUCCCCCAAGAGUCCACAUCGACGGGGAGGUUUGGCACCUCGAUGUCGGCUCGUCGCAUCCUGGGGCUGUAGUCGGUCCCAAGGGUUGGGCUGUUCGCCCAUUAAAGCGGCACGCGAGCUGGGUUCAGAACGUCGUGAGACAGUUCGGUCCCUAUCCGUCGCGGGCGCAGGAAAUUUGAGAGGAGCUGUCCUUAGUACGAGAGGACCGGGAUGGACACACCGCUGGUGUACCAGUUGUUCCGCCAGGAGCAUCGCUGGGUAGCUAUGUGUGGCAGGGAUAAACGCUGAAAGCAUCUAAGCGUGAAGCCCCCCUCAAGAUGAGAUUUCCCAUUUCUUCGGAAAGUAAGAUCCCUGAAAGAUGAUCAGGUAGAUAGGUUUGGAGUGGAAGUGUAGCGAUACAUGGAGCGGACAAAUACUAAUCGAUCGAGGACUUAACCAAAA